ensembl:misc_RNA Metazoa_SRP Metazoan signal recognition particle RNA
GCCAGGUGCAGUGGCGCAUGCCUGUAGUCCCAGCUACUUGGGAGGCUGAGGUUGGAGGAUCUCUUGAGUCCGGGAGUUCUGGGCUGCAAUGCGCUAUGCCGAUCGGGUGUCUGCACUACGUUCGGCAUCAGUAUGGUGACCUCCCGGGAGCAGGGGACCACCAGGCUGCCUAAGGAGGGGUGAACCGGCCCAGGUCAGAAACAAAGCAGGUAAAAACUCCUGUGCUGAUCAGUAGUGGGAUUGCGCCUGUGAAUAGCCAUUGCACUCCAGCCUGGGCAACAUAGCAAUACCUCGUCUCUU